ACCCAUAUCCAAGCUGGAUGUGUGGUUGCUCCCAGGUGCAAAGAACCAAUUUCUCAGUAAUAACUGGUCUGUUCUAAUCAGGAUCAAGUGCACAAUCUUAUUCACCGAUAUUUUCUAAGCUAGGCAAUGUAAGCCAGAGCGUGCAUAUUAAUGCUAGGCAAACAAGUCUACACAUCACAUAACAAGCAAGGAAACAAGCAAUACAAUUUAAAAGAAUUUAUAACUACGUGUACACAUGAGCAUCAACUGGCAGUAUAGGCGGCUAUCGGGCCAGGCUUUUUAGAAAAGCCCGGUAGCCCGGCGGGCUUGGCCUGUUCGUGCCCGGCCUGGCACAUAUUUAAUCAGGCCGGGCCGGCCCGAGGCCCUGUCCGUCCCGUGCUUGGGCUUCCGCCUCAGGCCCUUGGGUCGGCCCGGCACAUGCCCGUUUAUAUUUUAUUUUUAUUAUUUUAGGAUUACAUAUUUGUCCCAUUAACUUUCUCAAUUCCGACCUAACUCCUCAUAUUUAUUUUUAUUUUACCCCACCAAUUCUUCUUGUUUUGGCCCAACCACCUUGUUUAUUUUUCCAUUUUCCUUUAAUCUGGCCCAGCCCAAAAUUUUCCUUUUCUUUUUUCAGUAAUCUGGCCCAUGUGCCUAGGUAGGCACGUCGGGCCUUAACGGGCCCAGGACGGCCUGGCCGGGCUCAAUGCCGUUCCUGGACAUGGGGGUUGCGUUUUCGGGCAGGCCCGGCCCCUUUAUUGCCGAGUAUCACCGGGCCAUGCCCGGGCCAGACCCGUUUAUCCAGAGCCGGGCCGGCCGGCCCGAUAGCCACUUAUAACUGGCAACAACCAUGCAUCCAUCCGAACAGUACCAACGCUGCUACUCAAUCAGGAAGCCAGGAAGCUAUACGCAUGCAUCUGAUUACAGAGUAUAAAUCUAGACUACUUAGCAAAAUUUAAAAUUAACUAGGAGAGAUAAUGAGACAUACAUGCAUGCAUAGGAAACAUAUCGUCACGCUGCAGUUAAUUUCGCAAGCUUAACAUGCAACCUGUCUACGUCAGCAUCCCAUCUUCUAAUCCCUGCCACAUCAGCAUGGCCGCUGCUGAUUUCCCAACUCAGGCCGCUCAAUUUCCUUGAGCGACAUGGUCUCCUUGCGCGAUUUGCAAGCCGUCGUCGCCUCGCGUCAUGCCAAGCUCUGUUCCCGCCACCCACGGGCUCAGCCCCGGCGACUGGAUUUAGCAUGCAGAGCACAACCUUG
rnacentral:lncRNA from 1 species